CCACUGCUAUCAGAGUCCGACUAAGCCAUGGGAGUCAGAGCCGCAAGGCUCGGCGCACUGCUCAGUAACACGUAGUCAAUCUGCCCUGAGGCCGGGGAUAACGCCGGGAAACUGGCGGUAAUACCCGAUAGGGGAAGGGUACUGGAAGGUCCCUUCUUCCAAAGGCUUGCCGCCUCAGGAUGAGACUGCGUCGGAUUAGGUUGUUGGUGGUGUAAAGGACCACCAAGCCGAUAAUCCGUACGGGUUGUGAGAGCAAUAGCCCGGAGAUGGACUCUGAGACAUGAGUCCAGGCCCUACGGGGUGCACCAGGCGCGAAACCUUCGCAAUGCGCGAAAGCGUGACGAGGGGACUCUGAGUGGCAUUGCAACGCAAUGCCUUUUGCCGAGUGUAAAAAGGCUCGGCAAAUAAGGGGUGGGCAAUACGGUUGCCAGCCGCCGCGGGUAAUAACCGCGCCCCAAGUGGUGGCCACUAUUAUUGGGCCUAAGAGCGUCCGUAGCCGGCCCGGAAAGUCUACGGUCAAAGCCCACUGCAAACAGUGGAAUUGCCGUAGAUACUACUGGGCUAGGGACCGGGAUAGGCCGGGGGUACGGCCGAGGUAGGGGUUAAAUCCGUUAAUCUCGGCAGGACCACCUGUGGCGAAGGCGCCCGGCUGGAACGGCUCCGACGGUGAGGGACGAAAGCUGGGGGAGCGAUCGGGAUUAGAUACCCCGGUAGUCCCAGCUGUAUACGAUGCCCACUUGGUGUCGGCAGUCCUGCGGGGACUGUCGGUGCCGAAGCGAAAGCGAUAAGUGGGCCGCCUGGGGAGUACGGCCGCAAGGCUGAAACUUAAGGGAAUUGGCGGGGGAACACUACAAGGGGUGGAGGCUGCUGUUCAAUUGGACUCAACGCCAGGAACCUCACCUGGGAAGACAGCAGGAUGAGGGUCACCCUGAAGGGGUUACCAGACACGCUGAGAGGUGGUGCAUGGCCGUCGUCAGCUCGUGCCGUGAGGUGUCCUCUUAAGUGAGGAAACGAGCGAGACCCACGCCCUUAGUUGCCACUUCCAUCUCCGGAUGGAAAGCACUCUAAGGGGACCGCUGCUGCUAAAGCAGAGGAAGGAGUGGGCAACGGCAGGUCUGUAUGCCCCGAAUUCCCAGGGCUACAAGCGGCCUACAAAGCAUGGGCCAACGGGAUGCAACUCCGGAAGGAGAAGCCAAUCCCUCAAACCCAUGCCCAGUUCGGAUCGAGGGCUGCAACCCGCCCUCGUGAAGCCGGAAUCCCUAGUAAGCGGGGGUCAUCAUCCUUCGCUGAAUACGUCCCUGCUCCUUGCACACACCGCCCGUCAAGCCAUCUGAGUGGGGUCUUGGUGAGGCUCGUUCC
rnacentral:rRNA from 1 species